ensembl:lncRNA
GUCUUGGCCAAGUGGUAGAACUAGAAUUUGAACUAAUGCAGUCUGCUGCUAAGAGUCCAAGCUCUUGCAUGUAUGUUUAAAUAAUGAAUUUAUGUUUUGUAAACCUGGUGCCUAUUCAUUAUUCAAAAAUUUACGCAAUCGGAAAUAAUAAUAGCCAACAUUUAGUGAGCACUUCUGAGUCCUAGCAACUGUUGUAUCGAUCAUGCUGUGCUUUUGAGCCCAUCUUUUCUUGCCUACUUGAGGACUUGGCCGUAGCUCGUAUCUUUUUCAUCAUCAGUUUUUUCUUCCCUUUUGGAUCUUCCCUAUCAGUAAACAUGCUGUAAUGACUUCCAUCUCAUAAAAUAAUACUAACCUCCUUUGAUUCCAAGCAGCUACCUCCCCAUUUAUUUGCUUCCCUUGAUAACAAAAUUCCUGGGGGAAAAAAGUUUAGACUCACUAUCUCCAUUUUCUACCUUUUAUUCUAACUUGUUUCCCACUUCAGGUUUGGUCCCCGCCAGUCUGGUGAAAUGGCUCUUCUCGACAUCACCAGAGAGUUCUGUCUUGCAAAAUCCAUUAUUUAGUCCUUACUUCUCUUGACAUUUGAUGGAAUUAAUUGCUCUCCUUGAGUCUCGGUUUGGGUCUUGGGAUAACACACCCUCCUUGCUUUCCUCUUCUCAGUUUCUUUUGCAGCCUUCUGUUUCUGACUGAGCUAGGCCAGACCAUAAAGAGUUGAUCUGGGUUUGAACACUGGCAACAGUGAUGCCUUCAAGUUGUUCACAGUAUAGACUUGCAAAUGUGUUUAAGGGCUGAAUGAGCCAGAUGCUCAUUCAUUUAUCUUCACCCCGACGUUCUUGAAUAAAUGAAAUUCCAUUCUCUAUUAUGUAGCAAAGACUCCUCAGCUCAGGAGUCAGGAAGACACCAUUCUAGCCUAGGCCAAUCAUGACCGGCUGAAAUUAGAUGAAUAGUCUCUGUCCUCAAGGAACUUGGAAUUUAGUGGAAGGAGCUUUUACCAAACGAUAAACCUUUACUCAGAGUAUGGCUUAGACUUUCUUUUUCCUUCAUAUUGUUAAGUAAAGCUCCAAGUUGGUCUUUUUGGGGUCAAACAAGAACAAGCCCAGGAUUCUAAGACACAGAGUUUGCAAAUAAGAACUGGAUUCAUUUACAAAGUCCAUGAUUCAUAGAAUGGGCCAGCAGAUGAAGUUUUGGAAGUUACAGUCAAAGUCGUGGUCAUUGAAACCUGGAGAAUGGCUGAGAUCAAGAAAAGAGGCUUAGAGAAAGAGGGGGCUGUGUGCAGGACUUUGGUGAUGGUCCUAAUUCACAGAACAAGAGGAGAAUAAGCAUCCAGCAAAACAAACAGCAGAGCCAUCUGAGAAGAGAUAAGGAAAUUGCAUUGUCGCAGCUCCCUCUGUGAUGAUUUGAUAUCAAAAUGAAGAAUUGUGCCAGGAGGCAGGUUGGACUGUUUAAGAGUAAUAAUGACAAUGACAGCCCACUCUGCAGUCUCUCCUGGCCCUGCUUUGUAUAACAUCAGCUUCAACUCUGCAUGAGCCCUAUUGCUAUACUCCUUUUCCCCUUAAGUAGGUAUGGUCCUCACUCACGGCAAAGGUGCACCAUCCCAAUAUUGUGGACAUUUAUUGGCUAACUUCCCAGCAUCAGUUCCCUCACCUUUUUUGUCCAAAAGCAUUCUGAUUAUUCUUUGGGUAAUUCAUCUUUCCCUCCAUUUUCAGCGAUGUGGAUUGUUUAAAAUUGGUCCCACCCUUCAGCUCUAGGGUAUCCCAUCACUCUGGUUGUAGUCAUUGGUUCAGAGAUGUGCAUGUGACUGAAUCCAAGUCAGUGAAAUAAAAUGAGAUAUUCCCUGGGACUGCUGGAAAAAUGGAUUUUGCUAACCCCUUCUGGACUUGAAUGUCACAGCCCAGAGCUACCAGCUGCCAUCUUGGUUCCAUGAAGUUUAAGUCUGUUUGAAAUUGAAUCAAAAGCAAAGCUGACAAAUAGAGAGAAGAGAGUCCUGCUUAUGCUGUUUGGGCCCUACAUGAAGCUCCUCUUGAAGCUAGAGAUAUCCCUGAACUGUUUAGUUUUUGCUCAAAUGGCUUCAAUUUCAGUUUUCUGUUACUUUCAACAUAAAGGGUUUUAAACAGUACACUCAAUAAUACUUGUGUUUGAGCUUGAGUGGACUAAUUAACCUGUCAAGUUCUCAUUCUACAUUUAGAAUUUUAUAAGGCUAAAACUGAAAGGUGCUAACUUCCAGAGAUAGGAUCCACUGAUGGCUCCUCUGAGAAAAAUGCCUUGGUUGAACUAAAAGGAAGGUUUAUCCUAAAUGAAGAAGCCUAGUGUAUAGUGGAGGAAAAUAAGGAUCCAAACAGCUGUGUGUAAUCCCUUUCUUGGCUCCACUUCACAUUACCAUUACACCCCUGUUAAGCUGACUUCUUCAGGUGACUUUAACACCUAAGCCAGUUAGAAUUAAGACUGAAUGUUUCUAUCAGUUAAGGUUUUUACUUUCCAAGAACAAUACCCACUCUAGUUAGUUGAAGAUAUAUAUGUAUAUAAAAAAAUGCUAGAGUCCUAAUUUUUGCAACUAUUCACAGGACUGUAGUUGCUGCUUAUCACUUCCUAUCUUGCAGUACCCAUUACAUAUUGCUUUUAUUUUCUGGUAAUACCUCAGCUGGUUGAGGUUCUUUGUCCAGUAGAGAGACCCACAUCUAUACUACUGAAAAAAUAUAAUCACUAGUUAUGAUUUAUAUUACUCACUAUUCUGUUGGUGUAAAUUUAUUUGGUCUGACUCAAAGUGGGAUGUGAUAAAACUUAGGGUCUUGUUCUUUCUCUGAGAGCUUGAAACUGUCACACUACUUUUCUCUGUGUGUGUGUGUGUGUGUGUUUGUAUGUGUAGUGUCUCAAUUCAGUGGAAACAAGUGGUGGCUGCUAGAUGUUGUAAUGCUGGGUUUAAUGUAUUUUAUUCUUAGGAAAAACAACUUGGGAGUGCACAUGGUAAAAGGGGAAGUUGAUGAGUCAGCACCCCGAAGUUAGCAGCUGAAAACGCCUGUUCAGUAAUAAGCCACCUCCUGCCUGUUGCCACUAGGUGACAGUCUUUGCAAAUGCUUUAUCUGAAGGGAGACUUUCUGUUACAGAAAUUCAUUUCUAUUGGUGGAGAUGUUUACCUUGCUAGUUUCAGCUAGAUUAGCCAAAUACACGUAUUUGUUAUAACCUACACUCUUAGUCAUUUGAGAUCGUACUUAUUCCUUAUAUGGAACUCUUCUCUCCUGCUGCUUGGUUUACUCCAUGCUAUAGACUGAAUUGUGUCCCCGCAAAAUUCCUGUAUUGAAGCCUAACCCCCAAUAUGACUUUAUUUGGAUUAGAGGCUUUAGGGGGUAAUUACAAUUAAAUGAAGUCAUAAGGGUGGGGCCCUAAUCCGUUAGGAUUGGUGGCCUUAUGAGAAGAAGAAUCUCUCUCUUUCUGUGCAUCAUGGAAGAAAAGCCAUCUGUACACACAGUGAGAAGGUGGCACCUACAAGCCAGGAAGAGAGCCCAGGAGCUGCAUUGGCCAGUGCCUUGACCUUGGACUUCCCAGCCUCCAGAAUUGUGAGAAAUAAAUUCUCUAUUGUUUAAGAAUUCUGUUAUUGCAGCCCAAGAAGACUAAUAUACUCCAUCUCUUCCUUUUCACUGGAGAGGCCCUAUGACUAGUGGUUAAGAAUACAGUACGUAUUCUGGAGUCGGCAUCCAGGUUCAAUUGCAGGCUCUGUUACCUCCUAGCUGUGGUUGCCUUUAACAAACUACUUAGCCUCUCUAAGCCUCAGUUUCCUCAAGUACAAAAGGGGAUAAUCAAAGUACUUAAUUCUGUAGGUCGUUGUGUGGUUUAAAUGAGCUAAUACUUUUAAAACUGUUAGCAUAAUGUCCGUAAAUUGUAGCUGUUAUUAUUAAGAGCAUUGUCUCAGCUCCAAUGUCACUCCCUCUGGACCCCCUUUGCUGAAUCUGGAGCCUAGGGCAUGACCUCUGUGUGCAGUUCAUAGCACCUGUGCUUAUUUUUUCAACCACUUAGACUAGUUUGUAGUAAUUUGUGUGAUUUAUGUCUGCCUCCCUCACUAAGUUAUAAGCUCUGUUAGGAUAGAAAAGACCUAUCUAAGUUUUACUCCCUACAGUUUCUCCCAGCAAGUGCUUUGAACAUGCUAGGUGCUGAAGUUGUUUGAUGAAUGAAUGAAAAAUGCAAUUCAUUGGUUUAAAUGGGGAAUCUGUAAAACUCUCUUUGAGAGAUCAAAGUCAAGUAACUUGUAAAAUAAUUACUAUUCUUAAUCCUGAGUGAAAAAUGC